ACCUGGAUCAAGCCCAGGAAUAUGGUGCCUCAGAGCUGGAUGGGCCAUAUGCUUAACCAAGACAAGAUCUCUUUCUCUCCAACACUGUUGCCAACUCAUGAUUCUCAUGACCUAUGCUGGGAGAGAUAUGGGCUAGGAGUCAGAGGACCUCUGACUUUGCAAAUAAUUGCUAG
rfam:Tursiops truncatus unplaced genomic scaffold Scaffold14952, whole genome shotgun sequence